CCGUUUUCCUCCCGGCCUCCGCUCUGCGGCAGGUCAGAGGGGCCCGGCGUCUGGGGUCUUCGGGACCAAAGGAAGGAUGCUGGCAGAAGUGGAAGGGUCGGUGCACGCGGGGAGCUGGGACGCGGCGCUGGCGGGUCCGCGGGCGCUGAGGCGGGACGUCUCUCCUGCGGACUGCGGGGCUAGGACCGAGCCCCCGGGUCUAGGACGGUGGGCGCGAGCAGACCUCCCCUCCCACCACCCAAGAGCCCCAAGGAGAGGGUGGGUGGCUGUGUCGGGGCGCCGGAGCAGAAUAAACCACACCCCCUGACCGGAGCCCGAGAGGAAAGAAGCCCCACGGAGGGCGUGAGGUGAGCCGAGACUGCUGCGAACCCAUUCCCCAAAUGCUUCUCUGCACCGACUGGACUCCGUCGGGCCUGCGGAGCCCGAGGAGGCGCGCGUGGCCAGGUGGCGAGCGCCCCCUGCCGCCACCCGCCUGCCGAGCUCGUCUGCGACCAGCCAGAGUCCCGCCUCCUGCCGCGUCCCGGGGCCACUGAGAAGGCUCCCAAGCCCGGGGCGGGGGGCAAGCGCGUUCUCAGAGCCUGGGAUUGACGACUUCAGCUUUCCUGCUUCUCCUGCAGCUGCCUCAGUUUCCUCCAUUAACGGCAAAGAGAGCCCCUAAUGCUGUAACCCCAGCCUAGACCCAGGCCUUACGUCGCUAGCCCGCAGCUGUGCACGGCAUCCUCUGUAUAAAGCAUCGAUCCACUUCUGAAAGGGCUGUUUGCUCUGCCAGAAACGCCCUCCUUACCCUUCCUUCUGUGCUUGGUGGACCCCUACUCUGUCUUCAAGGUCUGCUCACCUGUCACCACCUCUCAGGCAGAGGGAGUUACCCUGCCCUCCCUCAGUGCCAAUUUCACGCUCGGAGCAAGAUGGAGUCCGAUGGUUUGUUGCACCACCCCCUCCAUCAGAGCAGACAUCCCUUCUCUGUCCCCAGUACCUGGCCAAGAUUGUGGAAAGGUGAAGAGUAAUGGUAACAGGCAUCAGCAGAUGACAUACACGGGACACGGGUUCGAGCUCUGGUCUGGGAAGAUCCCACAUGCCAUGGAGCAGCUAGGCCCGUGAGCCACAAUUACUGAGCCUGCGCGUCUGGAGCCUGUGCUCCACAACAAGAGAGGCCGCGAUAGUGAGAGGCCCGUGCACCGCGAUGAAGAGUGGCCCCCACUUGCCGCAACUAGAGAAAGCCCUCGCACAGAAACGAAGACCCAACACAGCCAAAAAUAAAUAAAUAAAUUAAUUAAAAAAAAAAAAAGGAUUUCUGAAAGUCCUGGAACCACUUCUCCAGGUCUGAAAGGUGAGACUGGCCCCACUGCCUCCUGGGCCAGGGUUCCAGCAGCUCAAGGUGCUGCUGUCCCUGCCCUGAGGGCCCAUGGGGAUGAUCCCCAACCAGGCUUCACCCCCCAGCUUUCACCAGAAGCUCCAGCCUUUCAAAUCCCUGGGACUCUUACCCCAGACCACCCUGUAUGACCCAGCCUCCCCACCUCCCCAGACCCUUGAGCCGUGCCCUCUGUGAUGUAAGUCAAUCAUUCUCUCUCCCUCCAUCACAGCUCUCCUGACAAAACCCCAACCCUGGUCAAACCUAAAUCAUCCACCCUGCCUUUGACCAAGCAGCUGCUUUUUCCAGAGCAGAACACGC